UUUUUCCUAAUGGCCUUUAAGUUAUCUCAUAGCCUUCUUUACAAGCAAUGCCAAAGUAAAUUCUGAUGCCUCUUGGCCAUCUCUCAUUUUUGGAGACCAGCCAUACACAAAUGGUUGCACUUCUAUCUCCCAGUACAUAUAUAAUUAAAUCUGGCCCUGCAAUGAAAGAGAGAGACUGAGAAAGUUCCUGAGCAGGAGCAGAGGCUGAUUAAUACAGAUUAUUAGAGACUGCUGAUUGAAAGGUUGCAGCUGUGAUUGCCGUAGCAGGAAGAAGGGAGCAAGGUCUUAGUGCUCAUGAUGUUGUCUGCCAGGUUUUGUCUUCAGUUUAUGCUAGAAAGAUGUUUCUGUGUGCUGUCCUGCAUCCCAAAAUCAAACACUAUGCCCAUUGCCCCUCUGUACUUUAAGGGGAUGUUACUUUCCUGAAUUCCUCCCUAAAGCCAUGUGUUUUGACUGAGCAGCUGAGCUGACAGGUAUUAUUUGGUUUUGUUCUGUGUUUUUCCUUAACAGGCAACUGCGAUGUCGGUGGAUUGCUUGGGACAGCGUGCUGUACUCUCGGGUCGCCGUUUCCUCUAUAUUGUCAACCUGGAUGCGCCAAAUGAGGGUCACCGUAAGAUCUCCCGGCAGAGCAAGUGGGACAUUGGGGCAGUGCAGUGGAACCCCCACGACAGCUACGCCUACUACUUUGCAGCUUCGGUAAGUUUACUCACUUAAAAGCUGUAACUCAUCGACUUCUCUGGUAUUUCUUUCAUGGGUGAGCCUCUGCAGAGCUGGAAGGCUGUGUGGAGCUGGCACAGACAUGAUUCUGCAAGUCACAUUGCAAGAUCAAGGCCUAACUCUGAUUUACUGCCAGCGAGUUGUUCAGCUUGAUGGCUUUCAGUUAUUGGGCAGUCAGGGUUGAAUCUAGUUUUGCUUUCUUGUCAUUUACAAAACACUUUGCCAAAUAAAUCAAGCAUCCAAAUGGUC